GUGCAUAUGACAAGUUACCUGGAUUCCCCUUCAAGACAUCGUUGUUGAUGCAGAUCCCGGUUUCUGAUGCA